UAAUUCCGAAAUUUCGAAAUUCCGUUUCAUUCAAUCGCUGUAGUAAAAGUAAUAUAGUGAAGUCGAAAAAUCAUAAACUGUCUAUACGCAUUAGAAAAAAGUCACAGACAGUAGCGGACUUUAUUAAGUAGCAUUUAAUCUUGCAUAACGAUCGGAAUGUUUGAUAAUCGAAAAUUUCUUGUCCUUGUACCCAGCCUAUAUAUAAUGUAUGAUAUAAUAUUACUACGUGCUAUUGCACUAGUUCAAUUAAAAAUAUGUAUCUAUAUAUUGAUUGAUCGUGUAAUACACAUACGUAAUAAUCCGACAUAUGGACAACUAAUCGCGUAAUAAAAUAACAUGUCAAACGAUCAAAUUGCACAAAGUAUCCCCGUAUAGUGCAGCCGUCAUAGGAUUACUUCAACCGGUUUCGUACGAAACCGAUGCUAUUUUGGUGAAUUGUUUCAAGCGCGAAGAAGAACAAAGGCAAACAUUUUGAAGAAACGAGACACUUCCUAAGAUGUUUAUCGUAAUGACAAAUUGCUCUGUUCGUGCAUCAAUCAAGUCCUGCUUCCGUAUAUCACGUAUAAUUUCAAUUCGAAAACGAAAUAAUGGACGAAGCAAUUCCGGAAUAGUCCGCUAAAAAAAAGUCACGAAGGACAGAUGAUUUGGUCGGCCAGAAAUCAACGGAGAUAAAGUGCGGACGCGAUUGAGUCAAAGGUUUAGAUUCAUUUUCGCGUGAGUGAGAAUCUCGAGCGCCACAGAGAUGAAUCAUAGAAAGUUCGGUCUGCUUUCGAUCUCGAGUGACGAGCAUAAUGCUUAAUUAAAGAUGAUGUCACGUUUCAGAGGUCAGGAUGCCACUCUUACGUUUUUAACAGUUCAGAAAUAUAUAGAGCAUGGAAAGGAGAGAUAACGCACAAUGGUCGAUUCUUCUCAAAAAUAGAAGCAAAAGAAAAAAAAAAAUUCUAAACAAAUAUUCUUAUUUUUGGAUAAUUUGAUUCAUAGAUGUCUUCUAUUUGUAUAAUUAAUUAAACACUUCAUACAAAUAAUUUUUUAACUAUAACAAUAGAAGACAAAAUUUAAUAUAAAUCUUCGAGAGUUUAUAUUUUUCCGAUUGUUAAUCAUACGUAUAACAAAUACGCAAAACGUUUGUUAGUUAUAAACAUUAAUUAUCCAAAAUCAAGAAAUUCUUAAUUUAGAAAUUUGUUGUUUAUUUUUGAAUCAAGAGUUAAUCGAGAAACAAAUCAAUCACUGUGCGACACUCCACUGAUAAAUCAAGAAAUCGCAAUGGGAACGAUAGCGAAAGAUCAAAACAGAGACCUACACACGUAACAAGUCGUCGAAUAAUUCGAUUUAGGUCGACCGCUCACGAAAGAAACAGAAAGUGAGAUUUCCCAUCUGCUUGAGAAGCCGAAGUUUAUUUUCUUUAGUGAAGUACUAUCGACCAAAUCUUCAGGAAACCGAACGGAGCUCACGUUGUUCGCGCGAUUUCUGUUUGCUUGCUAAUUUCCAACGGAACAUAUCUGUUGACUAAAAACUUCUGAAAAAUAUCUCCUCCAAGAUUUUCUCAUAAAUCUUCGUCUCGAUCUCGUGAACCAUAUCAAGCCAACGCGAGCUGCUGUUACAUUAGGAAAAAAGAAGUAAGAGAAGAUUUUUCGAAAUUACGUGUUUUUGAACUGAAGAUGUGACGCAUGCAAAACAAAUGUUCCAGUAUAGUUUAAAGGAAUUUUGACAAGCGAUGAUUGAAAGCACAUUUCGCGCACGUCGAAAAUCGAAGGGCACUCCCAAUACGGUAGCUGGCUGGCGUAUGCUUUCUUAAAAUAGGUUGUAUACAAGAAGAAGAACAUCGUUUGUAUCAAGAACUGGAAACUUCGGAAAUCUUUCGCGAAUUACCUUGUGCUUCGUUCGCUUCCGCCGUCAUAAGUGCAUUACAUGUAUUAAUAGAAGCGCGAUAAACUGUCGGUUUCUAUUUAAAUCGCGUUAGAAGAUUGCUUUUCAUACGAUCGUGAAAUAUAUCGAUAAAUCAAAAAAUUGAUACAUACAAAUAAUAUACAUAUAUGUACACUAUUGUGCAUAAGUAUUUGGACAGUUCUAAAUUGUUGCAAAUAUAAGAUAUGAUUCAAAUUAAUCUCUGUAAUUUAACUUAAGUCUGUUGAAUGUUGAAAUAUUAGAAAAAUUGAAAUACUUUUUUUAGUUAUUCGAAAAGUACAGAGUAUACUUAUGAAGUAUAUUUAUUACUUAAAGUUUAUUAUUUAAAUUUAUUAAAUUGUGAUUAUGAAAUUGACAUGUAUAUCUAACUCGAGUGAUAUGUAUUCUUAUUUCAAAUCAUUUAAUCUCAGUUAAAAUAAAAUGUAGAAAAUUAACAGUAGAGGAACGCUCGUCGAUCGUAACCAUAGAAACAAAACAAAGAUAUCAAUCUUUUAAUGGAAUUCCAAUUAUUUAUGCACAGUAGUUCUAGACAUCUUUUUAACACGCGCCAACGCAUCAUCACCCCGAUAUCAUUUAUCUAAGAUAUAGCCAAUUAACCCCUGGUAUCUGUGGAUCACCGGUCGGCGCCAAUGUGAAAGGAUGCGAUAGAAAAUUAAUUUCGCUAAGUCCAAAGUAAAAGAUACGUGUAUACGUCUACAGCCAUUUGCAAAUAUAAAAAUGCGACUGUCAUUACGUAUUCAAUAGGAAUUCUCGCAAGUAAAUUGUUGAUUCACAGAUUAAGUAGAUAGCAAGCGGUCAUUACAAUUCAUUUAACUUGUAAAUACUAUUGUUUGAAACUUACCAGAAU